CGGGGAGACAAAGAGGGCGCGAGGUGUAGGGGAGGCUGGAAGGGCUGCGCCUCGAACACAGAGAUGGGCUCGCACUCCGGGCCAAGUAACGUCCUCCGAACUUUUACCCCUAAGUCACUCCUACCCUCUGGACACAAUCCUGGUUCUCAGAUCCCAGUCCCUUGGCUAAAACGGCCCGGCUUUGUGGGCGUUGGAGCUUUCUCAAAGGCGAAACCAAUCCAGUGACAAUCUAUCACUUGACUGGUAAUAGAGUCUGCUGGAGAGCAGGUAGAAGCCAGAGGGACUGUCACCACCAUCGCCAAGCUCUAUCUCACCUAUCUAUCUCACCUGGAGAGUUAAUCGCCUCUUGGAAUCUCAGCUGACCAGUGACAGUGCCUCUCAAGACAAGGCAUACAUGGGCCCCUGAUGCCCUGAGCUGUGGACUUAAAUGACUGCAAAGGUCAAAUCUCAGCCCAGUUGCUUAGUGUGUGUGUGUGUAUACAUGUGGCCAGAGGUCAACAUCCAGUGUCUUCUUAUUAACCUUAUUUUAUAUUUUAUUUACCUCUUUUGUUUUUCAAGACAGGGUUUCUCUGUGUAGCCCUGGCUGUCCUGGAACUCUCUCUAUAGACCAGGCUGGCCUCAAACUCACAGAGAUCCGCCUGCCUCUGCAAUGCUGCUUCCCAAGGCGUGCGCCACCACCGCCACCAGGCUCCACCUUAUUUUUUGAGCCAGAGUCUCACUGAAUCUGGAGCUCACCUACUACCAGCGGGUCUCAGGGACCCUCCUGCCUCUGCAGAGCCGGGCUGUGGGUGUGGGCUGCAGCACCUGGCCCCUCACAUGGUUUCUGUAGAAGACCCAGGUCCUCAGUUGACGAAGCAAGCCUAGACCAUCUGAGCUGUCCCCUCAGCUCUCAACCCUGGCAUCUGCGUCUUAGCUACCUGUAUGACUUCCGAUCAGCUAUGUUUGCUCCUCUGACCUCACAGGUUCAUAGCAUUAGUUCAGUGCAAUGAUGUGUAGAAAACACCGGCACGGAGCACAUGCUAGAUGGACGCCAUGGCUGCUCCUUUCACUUCUUGGCAGGAACAAAGGGCUACGGUGUUGGAUGGGUAUAGGGCAUAGCCAGGCCUGGGACAAAGCAGCCUUGGGUCAGGCCAGGCUCUGGGGCUUGGGGU
rnacentral:lncRNA from 1 species